AUUUAGCCCCGCUAGAGCCAAUAUCCUCGUAAUCCCGAUAGCUAUCGGGAUGGAGAGAUAAAGGCGAAAACGGGACUAAAA
rnacentral:sRNA from 3 species